GUGUUCGUUUUGGCAGCACAUCUGCUAAAACUGGAAUUCUCUAGAAAAGAUUAGCCUGGGCCCUGCACAAAUAUGACAUGCAAAUUUGUAAAGAAUUCGCUGUUUUU